rnacentral:rRNA from 1 species
CCUACGGGUGGCUGCAGUGGGGAAUAUUGGGCAAUGGGCGCAAGCCUGACCCAGCAACGCCGCGUGAAGGACGAAGGCCCUCGGGUUGUUAACUUCUUUUAUUCGGGACGAAACAAAUGACGGUACCGAAUGAAUAAGCCACGGCUAACUACGUGCCAGCAGCCGCGGUAAUCCGUAGGGGGCAAGCGUUAUCCGGAUUUACUGGGUGUAAAGGGCGUGUAGGCGGGAGAGCAAGUCAGACGUGAAAUUCCAGGGCUCAACCCUGGAACGGCGGUUGAAACUGUGCUUCUUGAGUGAUGGAGAGGCAGGCGGAAUGCGGGGUGUAGCGGUGAAAUGCGUAGAUAUACGGAGGAACACCAGUGGCGAAGGCGGCCUGCUGGACAUUAACUGACGCUGAGGCGCGAAAGCGUGGAGAGCAAACAGGAUUAGAUACCCUUGUAGUC